rnacentral:rRNA from 1 species
AUGUCGGGGUUCUCAGGGGCAUCUUCCGCUCCUGGAUUCCGUCGAGCUAGCGGGAGGAGGGAGGCUGAGUCGAGGUCGCCGGUUCCAUACCGCGAGGGCGCCAUGGAUUACGAGCCGCCGUAGCUCUGCCAGUGCAAUCCGCCAAGGAAGGCGCCGAGGUGGAUAUCGUGGAGCUGGCAGAACCCCGGCAGGAGGUACUACGCGUGCGUCCAUGCGCUGGUGAUCUCCAUUUCCCCUCUAUUUUCCAUCUGCAAGUGCCUUUCUUCUGCCACUGCUCAGUAA